rnacentral:rRNA from 1 species
UACGGAGGAUCCUAGUGUUAUCCGGAUUUAUUGGGUUUAAAGGGAGCGUAGGCGGGAGGUCAAGUCAGCUGUGAAAUGUAUCUGCUUAACGGGUACACUGCAGUUGAAACUGGUUUUCUUGAGUGCGUAAGAGGCAGGCGGAAUUCGUUGUGUAGCGGUGAAAUGCUUAGAUAUGACGAGGAACUCCUAUUGCGAAGGCAGCUUGCUGGGUCGUUACUGACGCUGAUGCUCGAAGGUGCGGGGAUCAAACAGGAUUAGAUA